AGUGGGAUGACUGGGUCAUAUGUUUCCAGUCUCAGUUUUCUGAGGAACCUCCACACUACUUUCCAAAGUGGUUGUAUUAAUUUUGCAGUCCCACCAACAAU
rnacentral:pre_miRNA from 1 species